CAAUGCCAUUUAAGUCAAUCUGAGAAUUUCUACUUUCCUCCAGUGAUUAUUUAAGGAAUGUCAGGAGCUCUCGCACAUAAGCUGUGCAGUUUAUCAGCGUUGAGAAUAAAAGAGUUCUGCCAGAGAGAAAGGAAGAUCGUUUUGGUUCUCGAUGAAAAGCUAUCAAGCAGAGUUCAACGUGAUGUGAGAUGUGACAAAUCUUGAGAGAAGCAGUAUUCUCUUAAGAGAAAGACUGGAAGGAAAGAGAAGGGGGACCCACUCAACAUUGCUAUUGACAAGAUGACCAAGAAAACACGAGACCUUCGAAGACAG